ACCUGACUGCUAUCGGAUUNGUACUAAGCCCAUGUGAGUCAUUGUAGCAAUACAAGGCAUACGGCUCAGUAACACGUAGUCAAUCUGCCCUAUGGACGUGGAUAACCUCGGGAAACUGAGAAUAAUCCGCGAUAGAUCAUAAUGCCUGGAACGGUUUAUGGUCCAAAUGAUUCGUCGCCAUAGGAUGGGACUGCGGCCUAUCAGCUUGUUGGUGAGGUAAUGGCCCACCAAGGCUAUUACAGGUACGGGCUCUGAGAGGAGAAGCCCGGAGAUGGGUACUGAGACACGGACCCAGGCCCUAUGGGGCGCAGCAGGCGAGAAACCUUUGCAAUGUGCGCAAGCACGACAAGGUUAAUCCGAGUGUUUCCUGCUAAAGGAAUCUUUUGUUAGUUCUAAAACCACUGAUGAAUAAGGGGUGGGCAAGUUCUGGUGUCAGCCGCCGCGGUAAAACCAGCACCUCAAGUGGUCAGGAGGAUUGUUGGGCCUAAAGCAUCCGUAGCCGGUUCUGUAAGUUUCCGGUUAAAUCCACUAGCUCAACUAAUGGGCUGCCGGAAAUACUGCAGAACUAGGGAGUGGGAGAGGUAGACGGUACUCGGGAGGAAGGGGUAAAAUCCUUUGAUCUCUUGAUGACCACCUGUGGCGAAGGCGGUCUACCAGAACACGUUCGACGGUGAGGGAUGAAAGCUGGGGGAGCAAACCGGAUUAGAUACCCGGGUAGUCCCAGCUGUAAACGAUGCAGACUCGGUGAUGCACUGGCUUUUGGCCAGUGCAGUGCCGCAGGGAAGCCGUUAAGUUUGCCGCCUGGGAAGUACGUACGCAAGUAUGAAACUUAAAGGAAUUGGCGGGGGAGCACCACAAGGGGUGAAGCCUGCGGUUCAAUGGAGUCAACGCCGAAA
rnacentral:rRNA from 1 species